rnacentral:rRNA from 1 species
AUGCCCCCGGUGCCUGCCGCGGCGUCGUCGAGCGUCCCCAACGUGCCCCCGGAGAGCACCUCUACGGGGGGCAUGUCGUCGCCGGGCAACUCCAUGGCGCCCCUGGAGAGCACCCCUACGGCUACGGGGGCCGCGGCGUCGCCGGGAAACUCUGUGGUGCCCCCGGAGAGCAACCCUACGGCGAGUCCCCCGCCCUCUGUCACGGAGCCAGAGCGGCUUUCUUUAUCCAUCCAAGAUGAAUCCUCAACUCCCCUGCUUUCGGUCGACGUCGACGACCUGCACAAGCAUGCCAUCGAGUUCUUGGAGGAAUCGAACGGAUACCCUGUCCUCACGGAUCCUGCCGCCGGGUUCGCCAAGCUACUGGAGCUGUUCGCCGCGGCCGAGUCAAAGGCCAUGUAUGCUGGAGAUCUGAAGGCGGCCGCCUCCAUCUUGAGCAAAGCUGCCGCCGAUGGCAAGCUUCCGGUGAAUCUCGCGGGCACCGCAAAGAGGCUGGCAUCUGAGGCGACGAAACUCGCGUCCGAGGUGGAGACCAGGCAUACUAUUUCCUCUUUGGCGAGGAUUCGCUCAUGCUGCUGCCUCUCGGCGUCCCAGAUAGCGCGCUACUGGUCAUGGUGCUGCACUGAUGAGUUGCCCCUCCAUCGCAGAGACCUUGAUCGGCAGGCCUUAUUUGUUGACAAGCUCUCCGCGCUCUACUGCUUAUCGAUGCCGGCUUCGCUUGGCCUCCUUCCAUACUUGCCUGCUACGAUUCCCAAGGACCAGUCUGUGCUCAUGGCGUAUAUCUAUGGUCUGAUUUUCUCAUCGGCCUCCAUCGGGCUAGUCCUGAGCCUCCACCCGAUGAAGCGCUUUGACGUGGAGCUAGCACGUUUUGUUAGCAGGCUCAGUUUUGUGGGUCUGUCAGUGCUCGUUCUCAUAUAUGUGUACUACGCAUUGUCGCCGGGUAACUACGCUAUGCUCGGAAUUUGUUCAGGGAUACUCGCUGCUGGCCAUGGAUAUGCAUGGAUUAGGAGCUGUUGCAGCAGAGCAGAGGACCCUUCAGACGCGCCAGAGGAAGUUUCAUCUGAUCACCGCAGUGAAUGA